UUUUUAGGGUUUCACCUAAAACCAGCCGUCAUUCACCUCUUUCUCUCUCAUAAGUCCCUCACUCUCUCUCCUCUCCUCUCUUCUCCUCCCCGUCAUUCACCUCACAUCCUCAGCAUCAUGGUAAAGGCACUUACGCUACUCGUCUUUCGAAGCUUCUCGAUGUUCCUCAUAUUUCUACUGGUGAUUUGGUUCGUGAUGAGCUCGUUUCCUCUGGUUCUCUCAAUCCUAAGGAAAAAAUGCGAGUUGCUUUGUAUGUACAGAAAGCUGCUCUACAUUUCAUGGACGCUGGCAGGAAAGAUGAAUUCACUGUGUCAGAAGAAGCAAAACAGGCAGGAUAUGAAAUUCAUGCAGAAGAGCAAGCAUCAAUUGUUCGCGGUCAUAAAAUACAAGACCUUAAAGCUCAUGGUGGAGUGGAAGGAUAGCAGAGAAGAUUUCAGCGUCUUUUAAAAAUGGAGUUAGCUCAAAUGAAACAGAACAACGCGAAAAUAUCUUUGGUGCUAAUCGAUUUAUUGAGAAGCCUGCAAGAUCUUUCUAGAGCUUUGUUUGGGAUGCUUUGCAAGAUUUGACCUUAAUCAUUCUACUAGUUUGGGAUGUUCUUAGCAAUGAGGAAGUUGUGUCAAUUGUGAGAUCAGUAAAGAACAAGGAGGCAGCUGCAAAAGCAGUUAUAGACGAAGCUGCUGAAAUUAAGAGGGAGUUAAAAGAACGCCUCUGUGAUUAGAAGGGGUUGCUGAAAUUAUUUGUAAUUCUAAUCUUUUUUUUUUUUUUUUUUUUUUUUUUUAAGUGGUGUCAUAAUAAAUUUUUUGUAACUUCUUUUGAAACAUAUAGUUGGCUUUUUGUAUGUAUAAUGUUUUGAUAUUUUCAUCA